UCGGCAAGCCGGCUUAUCGCUGCGUCUUCUUUUAGGCGGAGAGGAAAGUCCGGGCAACGCAGAGCAUCCUGCUUCCUAACGGGAAGGCAUUUGGCGGGAGACGGCCAAAUGACAGCCAGUGCCACAGAAAAUAACCGCCACUAAUUAAUUAGAAAUUAGAAAUUACUCAUCUGUGAAGACUCAUAAUUUUUAAUUUAUAAUUUCUAAUUAAUUGGUGGUAAGGGUGAAAAGGUGCGGUAAGAGCGCACCAGCGGCUAGGCGACUAGUCCGGCUGGGUAAACCUCAGGAGUUGAAAGACCAAAUAGGCUGGCAGCGCCUCGUUUUAGGACAAGGCUAAGGGCGGCUCGUCCGAUGUCAGUGGGUAGGUUGAUGGAGCCUUUCCGUGAGGACUGGCCUAGAUAAAUGAUAAGCCAUCUGUCUUCGGGCAGAGGACAAAACCCGGCUUACAGGCUUGCUGAUUUU
rnacentral:RNase_P_RNA from 1 species